AAAAAAAAUGGGCGCAACGCCCAUCUUUUUCAACCGAGGUCGCACCCGGGCAGCGCAAAAACUAUGUGCCCAGCGACUUCGUGAUUUUAGCCAUUU
rnacentral:sRNA from 1 species